rnacentral:rRNA from 1 species
UUAGAAAUCCAUAUUUAGGUGCGCUUAGGUUAGAGUAGUACUGGGAUGGGUGACCGCUUGAGAAGUCCUGGUGUUUUUCAUU